rnacentral:rRNA from 1 species
UACGAAGGGUGCAAACGUUGCUCGGAAUCAUUGGGCGUAAAGCGCACGUAGGUGGCCUGUUAAGUCGGGUGUGAAAUCCCUGGGCUCAACCCAGGAAGUGCACUCGAAACUGGCAGGCUUGAGUACUGAAGAGGGUCGCGGAAUUCCCGGUGUAGAGGUGAAAUUCGUAGAUAUCGGGAGGAACACCAGUGGCGAAGGCGGCGACCUGGGCAGAUACUGACACUGAGGUGCGAAAGCGUGGGGAGCAAACAGG